CUAGAAUGUAUCACACAGCUGAUAAAAAUCUAAAAACAGGGUGCCUUAUAGAACCUAAAGUUCUCCAUUGCCUGGGCUGGCUGGUUAGUGAUUUCCCAAAGUGUGACUAUCUCUGCUUCUCAACACUGGAUUACAGUAAAAAUCCACACCAAGGUCCUGGCCAAUCAUCACAGUGGUCCUACAUUUCCUAGCCUCCAGCACUGUAAGUCAAACAUGUCUCUUUUUCAUUCCCUAAUUGAUUGACUGAUUGCUUUUCAGAUAAGGGAUCACGUAGUGCAGGCUG